UCUACGGGUGGCAGCAGUGGGGAAUAUUGCGCAAUGGGCGAAAGCCUGACGCAGCGACGCCGCGUGAGGGAUGAAGGUCUUCGGAUCGUAAACCUCUGUCAGCAGGGAAGAACGGUCCCUGUUCUAAUCAGCAGUGAAUUUACUGUACCUGCAAAGGAAGCACCGUCUCACUCCGUGCCAGCAGCCGCGGUAAUACGGGGGGUGCGUGCGUUAAGCGGAAUUACUUGGCGUAAGGCGCUCGUAGGCGGUAGGUCAAGUCAAAGGUGAAAUCCCCGCGCUCAACGUGGGAACUGCCGUUGAAACUGGGAAACUGGAGUGUGUGAGAGGAUAGUGGAAUUCGAGGUGUAGGAGUGAAAUCCGUAGAUAUCGGGAGGAACAUCAGUUGCGAAGGCGACUAUCUGGAACAUAACUGACGCUGAGGAGCGAAAGCGUGGGUAGCAAACAGGAUUAGAUACCCGAGUAGUC
rnacentral:rRNA from 1 species